rnacentral:rRNA from 1 species
GGACGAACGCUGGCGGUGUGCCUCAUACAUGCAAGUCGAACGAUAAGGUCGUCUUCGGAGAUACAUAAGUGGCGGACGGGUGAGUAAUAUGUAGGAAAUCUGCCCUAGAGAGGGGGACAACAGAGGGAAACUUCUGCUAAUACCCCAUACGAGCUUGGUUGAAAUACCAAUCUUGAAAACUCCGGUGCUCUAGGAUGAGCCUGCAUCUGAUUAGCUAGUUGGUGGUGUAAUGGACCACAAAGGCGACGAUCAGUAGCUGGUUUGAGAGGAUGAUCAGCCACAAUGGGACUGAGACACGGCCCAUACUCCUACGGGAGGCAGCAGUAGGGAAUUUUGCGCAAUGGGGGAAACCCUGAACCGCAGCAACACCGCGUGAAUGUUAAGCCCUUCGGGGUAUAAAGUUCUGUCAAUGGGGAAGAAUUAAUGACUGUACCCAUAAAGGAAGCACCGGCUAACUCCGUGCCAGCCGCAGC